GACGGAGGAUGCAAGCGUUAUCCGGAAUGAUUGGGCGUAAAGCGUCCGCAGGUGGCAGUUCAAGUCUGCUGUCAAAGACCGGGGCUUAACUUCGGAAAGGCAGUGGAAACUGAACAGCUAGAGUAUGGUAGGGGCAGAGGGAAUUCCUGGUGUAGCGGUGAAAUGCGUAGAGAUGGGGGAGAACACUCGUGGCGAAGGCGGCCAGCUAGACCAGUUCUGACACUGAGGCGCGACAGCGUGGGGAGCAAACAGG
rnacentral:rRNA from 1 species